rnacentral:lncRNA from 1 species
AAGAAAAAAGAUCAUGUGGGUGGCAUUUGGCCUUCUGCUAGGAAUCUGGACAUAGGUCUAGAGAUUAAUAUUUUUAAAAUGAAAGGAGUAUAUUUCUACGGUCUACCUCUAUAUGUACAACUAUUAGUAUAUCAAAACAGGGUUCUCUCAAGGUACCCCUCCUACCUCCCUAAUAUUUCCUGAACAAAGAGAUACCCCAGCGGAAGAAUGAAGAGAGCUCGAUAUAUACUUAUGUUGUUAAGGCAAGGGCGAUGUAUAUUUAUCAAAUACUCCCUCAGUUUCAGAUUAUAAGUCGU